GACAGAGGUGCCAAGCGUUAGGCAGAAUCACUGGGCUUAAAGCGUGUGUAGGCGGAUCGUUAAGUACCUUGUGAAAUCCCACGGCUCAACCGUGGAACUGCUGGGUAUACUGGCGAUCUUGAGCCACCUAGGGGCAACUGGAACAAGCGGUGGAGCGGUGAAAUGCGUAGAUAUCGCUUGGAACGCCAAUGGUGAAAACAGGUUGCUGGGGGUGUGCUGACGCUGAGACACGAAAGCCAGGGGAGCGAACGGG
rnacentral:rRNA from 1 species